AAAAUGCAAUUAAUCAGAAUGAAUCGACCCUGGGGCCUGGCCAGCGCCCGCCGGAGGGAGGGGAGGCUCAGAGAAGCCCCUCUGGAGAGGGGCUAUAUUGUUUCUCAGGGACACUCCAAGAUUGAGCUGUGCCCACCUUUGGAUUCCCAGAGCGCUGACCUAAAGAUUAAUUGCUGGGCCAGGCAGCUGGAGAGAGCACUGGUUAGCAUCUUACUUCUGCUAUUUAGAGCAAAUGAGGCCGGACACUAGCCUAUUCCAGGGCGACCUUCUCUAGGAAUGUGGGGGGCUUACUGGGUAAUCUCUCUCUGUUCCUCACAGGGUCCCUGGAGCUUAGUAGGAAGCAGAAGGUAUUAUUUUUAUUUUCCAGAUGGUUGUAUG
rnacentral:lncRNA from 1 species